rnacentral:rRNA from 1 species
CAUGAAGCUGGAAUCGCUAGUAAUCGCGGAUCAGAAUGCCGCGGUGAAUACGUUCCCGGGUCUUGUACACACCGCCCGUCACACCAUGGGAGUCGGAAAUGCCCGAAGCCGGUGACUCAACCUUUAAGGAGAGAGCCGUCGAAGGCAGGUCUGAUAACUGGGGUGAAGUCGUAACAAGGUAGC